rnacentral:rRNA from 1 species
AUUGAACGCUGGCGGCAGGCCUAACACAUGCAAGUCGAACGGUAACAGGAAGCAGCUUGCUGCUUCGCUGACGAGUGGCGGGCGGGUGGGUAAUGUCUGGGAAACUGCCUGAUGGAGGGGGAUAACUACUGGGAACGGUAGCUAAUACCGCAUAACGUCGCAAGACCAAAGAGGGGGGCCUUAGGGCCUCUUGCCAUCGGCUGUGCCCAGAUGGGAUUAGCUAGGAGGUGGGGUAACGGCUCACCUAGGCGACGAUCCCUAGCUGGUCUGAGAGGAUGAACAGCCACACUGGAACUGAGACACGGUCCAGACUCCUACGGGAGGCAGCAGUGGGGAAUAUUGCACAAUGGGCGCAAGCCUGAUGCAGCCAUGCCGCGUGUAUGAAGAAGGCCUUCGGGUUGUAAAGUACUUUCAGCGGGGAGGAAGGGAGUAAAGUUAAUACCCUUGCUCAUUGACGUUACCCGCAGAAGAAGCACCGGCUAACUCCGUG